rnacentral:rRNA from 1 species
UACGUAGGGUGCAAGCGUUAAUCGGAAUUACUGGGCGUAAAGCGUGCGCAGGCGGUUUUGUAAGUCUGUCGUGAAAUCCCCGGGCUUAACCUGGGAAUGGCAUUUGGGACUGCAAGGCUUGAGUGCGGCAGAGGAGACUGGAAUUCCUGGUGUAGCAGUGAAAUGCGUAGAUAUCAGGAGGAACACCGAUGGCGAAGGCAGGUCUCUGGGCUGACACUGACGCUCAUGCACGAAAGCGUGGGGAGCAAACAGG